rnacentral:lncRNA from 1 species
AGAAAAUCAAAUAAAAAUCCAGCUAAAUAAAACAUAAAUGGACCUAAGGUCCAAGUAAGACCGACCUUCAAAGGGUUUGAAGAUCAUAGCAUCAAGCAUAUAGCAACAAAGUCAACAGGCCCAAAGCCUGCAUUAAACUCGGCCCACAGGCCUGCAUGAAAUAGUAAUGACAAAUAAACUCCUGGUGUGUCUCGUACUAUCCCUAUCGUCUCGUUUGCCACCAUAUGUGGCAGAGAAGAAGCAGCUAGAACUGUAAAGAAUAUGGGAAAUGCAGCUGGAUCAAUUUAAGAAAAUUUAUACUGGUGAGAUCUAAAGCUUGCGGCAGAGUUGACAGAGGACUCAUCUCCUGAAUCGAACCAGCUAAAGCCAAAUUGGAGUGAUACCUUUGAUAAUGGCGAAUGAACUCAUAAUAAUAUCAGGAUCGACUUUAUCAAGCUAUGAAUCUCCAACACCAAUAACAAUAUUGUCUUCUCCUUCCACCACUGGCCAUAGAUGAACAGCUCCCCAAAGGGUUGAAGAAGGUGGGAGAGCCAUAGACGACGAUGGUAGGACCUCCACCGCAAAAAAUCCAUACAACACAAGUCUAUAACUAUAACAACAUACAACACAUUAACAAACGAAAAUACCAAAAAAAAAAGAAAAAACUUAAACUAAUAAUGGUUUAUCUUUUUUUGUAAUUAGCAAGUUUUUCUUUUAUUUCAUUUCAUGUAUUUGUAAUUUGCAGGCAGAUUGAGUAGCUUCAGUAGACUACUACCCUUUUGCUCUUCUUUCUCUCCUAUCGCUAAUUCUAUUUUAAAGAUUGAAAAAAAUUUAAUAAAUCUAUUUAUUGAAAUAAUUAAAAUUUAACCUAUU